GCUACAUGUCACCGCAUGGUGGUGUGUGGAAAGGGUUUACUGGUCUUGGAUGGGCUCACGGCCUAUCAGCUUGUUGGUGAGGUAAUGGCUCACCAAGGCGACGACGGGUAGCCGGCCUGAGAGGGUGACCGGCCACACUGGGACUGAGACACGGCCCAGACUCCUACGGGAGGCAGCAGUGGGGAAUAUUGCACAAUGGGCGAAAGCCUGAUGCAGCGACGCCGCGUGAGGGAUGACGGCCUUCGGGUUGUAAACCUCUUUCAGCAGGGAAGAAGCCACAAGUGACGGUACCUGCAGAAGAAGCGCCGGCUAACUACGUGCCAGCAGCCGCGGUAAUACGUAGGGCGCAAGCGUUGUCCGGAAUUAUUGGGCGUAAAGAGCUCGUA
rnacentral:rRNA from 1 species